GGCGGGCCUCCCCGCAGUGCGGCGUGGUCAACCUGGUCAGGUCCGGAAGGAAGCAGCCACAGCCACUCCCCGCGCGUGCCGGGGUUCCGGCUCGCCCAC
rfam:Lautropia sp. SCN 69-89 ABS56_C0020, whole genome shotgun sequence.